rnacentral:rRNA from 1 species
AUUGAACGCUGGCGGCAUGCUUUACACAUGCAAGUCGAACGGCAGCGCGGGCUUCGGCCUGGCGGCGAGUGGCGAACGGGUGAGUAAUACAUCGGAACGUGCCCAGUAGUGGGGGAUAGCUCGGCGAAAGCCGGAUUAAUACCGCAUACGACCUGAGGGUGAAAGCGGGGGAUCUUCGGACCUCGCGCUAUUGGAGCGGCCGAUGGCAGAUUAGCUAGUUGGUGGGGUAAAGGCCUACCAAGGCGACGAUCUGUAGCUGGUCUGAGAGGACGACCAGCCACGGUGGGAGUGAGACACGGGCAAGACACGGGCGGGAGGGAGGGGUGGGGAAGGGUGGACAAGGGGUGAAAGGAUGAGCCAGAAAGGCCGCGGGUGUGAUGAAGGCGUUGGGGUGGAAAAGCACGGUGGGAGGGAACGAAAAGGACCGAGCCAAACCCACGGUUGGAGAACGGUACCAACAGAAGAAGCACCGGCCAACUACGGGGCAGCAGCUGCGGUAAUAAUCGGAAGAGCACAUGUCUGAGC